rnacentral:RNase_P_RNA from 1 species
CGGUCCGUCGCGGGCAGCCUCUCCUUUGAGGAAGGCGGCGUGAGGAAAGUCCGGGCAACACAGAGCAUCAUGCUUCCUAACGGGAAGGCACGGGCGACCGUGCAGACAACGUGACAGAAAACAACCGCCCCACGCAAGGCGAGGGAGCCGCAGGGCCUCAGGGCCCGAGGCGUCAGCCACCUCCCGGGGUAAGGGUGAAAAGGCGGGGUAAGAGCCCACCGGACGCCACCGUGAGAUGGCGUGCCGCACGUCUGAUGAGUUGCAAGGUCAAGUAUACCGGCAAGGGCUGCUUCGGCGGCCAAAUGGGUUGCUCGCCCAUUGCCGGGGGGUAGACUGCUGGAGCCCGCGGGCAACCGCGCGGCAUAGAUAAAUGACGGACCGGCACCUGUCCGCGCCCUUUGGGCCCCGUCCGCUUCGCGGAGGUGCCGACAUAACCCGGCUUACAGCCCGACUG